rnacentral:rRNA from 1 species
GACGAACGCUGGCGGCGUGCCUAAUACAUGCAAGUCGAGCGAAGUCUUUCUGGUGCUUGCACUAGAAAAACUUAGCGGCGAACGGGUGAGUAAAACGUAAAGAACCUGCCUCAUAGACUGGGACAAACAUUGGAAACGAUACCUAAAAACGGAUAACAGUAUUUCUCGCAAGAGAGAGAUUUUAAAGUUGGUUAUGGUAACAAUAUGAGAAUGCUUUGUGUUGCAUUAGCUAGUUGGUGGGGUAAAGGCCCACCAAGGCGACGAUGCAUAGCCGACCUGAGAGGGUGAUCGGCCACACUGGGACUGAGACACGGCCCAGACUCCUACGGGAGGCAGCAGUGGGGAAUCUUCCGCAAUGGGCGAAAGCCUGACGGAGCAACGCCGCGUGAGUGAAGAAGGACUUCGGUUCGUAAAGCUCUGUUGUUAGGGAAGAAUGGAUGUGUAGUAACUAUACAUGUAAGAGACGGUACCUAACCAGAAAGCCACGGCUAACUACGUG